CCUANGGGCGGCAGCAGUGGGGGAUAUUGCGCAAUGGGCGAAAGCCUGACGCAGCGACGCCGCGUGGGUGAUGAAGGCCUUCGGGUCGUAAAGCCCUGUCGAGGGGGACGAAUCGGCCGCGACCCAAUACGUCGUGGUCCUGACGGUACCCCUAAAGGAAGCACCGGCUAACUCCGUGCCAGCAGCCGCGGUAAUACGGAGGGUGCUAGCGUUGUUCGGAAUCACUGGGCGUAAAGCGCGUGUAGGCGGCCUGUUAAGUCUGAUGUGAAAGCCCGGGGCUCACCCCCGGAAGUGUAUUGGAAACUGACAGGCUUGAGUCCCGGAGAGGAGGGUGGAAUUCCUGGUGUAGCGGUGAAAUGCGUAGAUAUCAGGAGGAACACCGGUGGCGAAGGCGGCCCUCUGGACGGUGACUGACGCUGAGACGCGAAAGCGUGGGGAGCAAACAGGAUUAGAUACCCCANUANUC
rnacentral:rRNA from 1 species